CCCGCCCGUCCCUCGCACCGGCCUCGAGGCGGCCCCGCGCCCGCCCAGCGGAGGCGGUGAGGAUGGUGAGGGGACCGGACCAUCUCUGAGGGAGCUGGGGCUGUGCAGCCUCGAGGGGAGACACUGAGAGGGGACUCCAUCCAUAUGUGUCAGUGCCUGCAGGGAGGGGGCAGAGCACGGACCAGGCUCUGCUUGGGGGGCCCAGCAAUGGGACACGAGGGACGGGCAGGAAUUGAUGCCCAGGAAGUUCCACCUGGACAUGAGGAAGAAUUUCUUCCCUGUGCAGUGACCAAGCACUGAACAGAGACCAGAGAGGGUGUGGAGUCUCCUCACUGGGAAUGUUCCAGAACCAUCUGGACACAAUCCUGUGCCAUGUGCUCUGGGAUGGCCCUGCUGGAGCAGGACAUGGGACCAGGUGACCCCCUGUGGGCCCUUCCAGCCUGACCCAUCACGGGAGGGCCGGGGCUGUACCAGGGAGGCCCCAGGCCAGGCUCAACCCGAGGGAGGGAAGGAGGUGUCGGGUGAGUGGCAGCCAUUGCCAAAUGUGCCCAGGAGUGUGAUGGGAUGAGUCAGGGAAUCCGGAGGGGCGUCAGAGGACAUGUGUGAUUUACACACUGCCAAUCUCAGAAAUACAAAUUCUCCAUGUUUGGGGUUAAUUUCCUGAAGCCAAGGCAGCACCCAAAAGGCGUGUGUGUCAUGUUCCUGUGGGUCCUGUGCACACGUGCUCACACACACCUGUGCAGAGACACUGGACUUCACUUUUUAGAGCAGGAACAUCUGGAUCAGGACAAGACCCCACAUGUAAUUCUUCCUUGUGGAAGACCUAUCUGCUCAAGACCUCUUCAACAAUCGAAGCUGAGUUCUAAUAGCACAGUAAAAAACCCUUCAGAAGUGAAAGGGAAUGAUGGUUUUUGAUACUUCAGAAAGACACGAGCACUUGGAGGAUGAAGUAAAGUGUAAUCCUUCCAUCCUCAGCUUUCAAACCCUUUCUGGUUCAGUGACACACUCGAGUUCAGCCUUACAGUGCUAAAAAGGAAAGUCCACGUGUUUGAAGCAUUACCUGAAGUGCAGAAGAAGAGAAAACUUGUCACCAAUUACUGAGACUUCGUAUAACUCAAGGAUCUCCUGCGUAUUCAAGUGGCUGAUGUCCUGGCAGUGCGUACACGCUGUUUAUCACAAUUCACUUAAAUAGCUUUUAUGAAGAAUUUAGUGACAUGUUGUUGUGUCUGGGAGGCUGCUUUGACACUUCCUCGUUCAGUGGGAUGUAGAAUCCACUACUUGUCACCGUCUGCAAGUGACACCGUGGUUUCACUGGAUGCUUCCAUGGCAUCUUCUCAUCGGUGGAUAUAAGUCACUGAAGGAGUCUUUGUUCUACAUGGAAAUGUAAAUAAAAAAGUGGAAAUACGCAAAACUUACCUGCAAAACCAAAGCUGGUGCUCUGACAUUAAAAGGGCUCCUGGAACUGAGGUACUUCCAAAGUUCCUCUGCAACACGUGUGAAAUACCUCUGGAGGAAGGAAAGCAAAGAAAGGUGUUUUGUUUUUCUGUAGCAACAUCAUUUUGCCUUCCAAGAGUGGAUACUUUUUCUUUGAUGGCUUCAAUGUUGGAAAACAUUUCUGAAACCUUGUUAAGUCAGGACUGUGUUCAGAAACUCUCAACUUCAUGGCUGCUUGAGCCAGUCUGUGCCAGCCUAAAGCACACAACCCCAAAUUUAAGCACCUUCCUAUUUCAACACUCUUUUAUUUGUGCUUUACCAGCGACCACUCUGGAGCCAUCACUUAAAGCAAAGAAAAUACAACAACUCCAGGAAAACAAUCCACAGACCUUCUAAUCUGAGGGUUGAAUUUGAGAAAACAGGAUCCACCCAUCAGAAGUGCUGCCAUGUCCCUUCUUUGCAAGGCAGGCAGAAUGGAUCCUGGGCUAGAAGUGGGAGCUCUCCAGACACGCUGCAGUCACGACGUGAGCUUCACAUGUACUGAGUAAAUCUGGUUGAUUCCUUCCUGGGGAUCCCCCAGCACAGACGUAGUGGGACAAAAGAGCCUAAAGCAUUCCCGGGGACUGCAGGAGCUCAGUCAACAUCUUUCCUGCUCUGGAGCAAAAGCACAAGCAUCCUUUAGUGCUCAGAUCUUCCCCUUCCUGAGAGCACAGCAUUUGAGGAGCUGUGUUAGAGAACCACCCUCGGCUUCUCAGCUGUGGUUUUGUCUGGGUUCACCUGCUGGGGCGUGACAUGUUUGCAAAAAGUCAGAACAGGAAAGAAGUUUGUGAGCCAAACACAAGGUGGUGAAGGUGGUGUUUAUUUAUUAUGAUGCACCUUUGGUACCAGUUUGUUGAACAGUCAGUGCAACUACCCUUGCAGGGAUAACACUAUUUUAUGCUCUUUGCCCUCUGCUGCUUUGUUGAAAUCACUCUCUCGGACUGAGUUUUCAGAUCUAAUUUUGGAUUAAAAGCUGCAAUUUG